ensembl:misc_RNA Metazoa_SRP Metazoan signal recognition particle RNA
GUUGGGCAUGGUGGCGUAUGCCUGUAAUCCCAGCUACUCGGGAGACUGAGACAGGAGAAUCACUUGAAUCCAGGAGGUGGAGGUUGCAGUGAGCUGAGAUCACACUACUGCACUCCAGCCUGGGCAACAGAGUGAGACUCUGUCUCAA